rnacentral:misc_RNA from 1 species
UUAGAAUAUAACCCCACAAAAUCAACAAACAAGAGACUAUCACUGUUAUUAUUAGCGAACGCGAGAAAUGAACUCGCUGCCUUCGUAGACGAAGCAUUGGCGGUGGACAUGGCAGUGGAGGAGGAGUGAAAAAGAUGCUGAGGAACGGGAAAGAGCAACGGCGAUUGAAGAGCCAUGAGCGAGAACUCUUGCAGAGAGAGAGAGAAUUCUGAUUUUGGGGUUCAAGAGAGAGAGAGAGGGAGGAACAAGCACGUCAGGGGGAGGAGUGCAAAGACUAUUGUGAGGAGAAAUGGGAAGUUGCAGCCAGAAUCAGUACAUCAAAAAGAUUACAAAAAAAU